rnacentral:rRNA from 1 species
AUUGAACGCUGGCGGCAGGCCUAACACAUGCAAGUCGAGCGAGCGGCGGACGGGUGAGGAAUGUCUGGGAAACUGCCUGAGGGAGGGGGAUAAGCACUGGAAACGGUAGCGAAUACCGCAUACCAUCAGAUGGGCACAGAUGGGAUUAGCUAGUAGGUGGGGGAAUGGCUCACCUAGGCGACUAUCCCUAGCUGGUGUGAGAGGAUGACCAGCCACACUGGAACUGAGACACGGCCCAGACUCCUACGGGAGGCAGCAGUGGGGAAUAUUGCACAAUGGGCGCAAGCCUGCUGCAGCCAUGCCGCGUGUGUGAAGAAGGCCUUCGGGUUGUAAAGCACUUUCAGCGGGGAGGCGUUACCCGCAGAAGAAGCACCGGCUAACUCCGUGCCAGCAGCCGCGGUAAUUC